GGGAGAACGCUGGCGGCGUGCCUAUACAUGCAAGUCGAACGCUUCUUUUUCCACCGGAGCUUGCUCCACCGGAAAAAGAGGAGUGGCGAACGGGUGAGUAACACGUGGGUAACCUGCCCAUCAGAAGGGGAUAACACUUGGAAACAGGUGCUAAUACCGUAUAACAAUCGAAACCGCAUGGUUUUGAUUUGAAAGGCGCUUUCGGGUGUCGCUGAUGGAUGGACCCGCGGUGCAUUAGCUAGUUGGUGAGGUAACGGCUCACCAAGGCGACGAUGCAUAGCCGACCUGAGAGGGUGAUCGGCCACAUUGGGACUGAGACACGGCCCAAACUCCUACGGGAGGCAGCAGUAGGGAAUCUUCGGCAAUGGACGAAAGUCUGACCGAGCAACGCCGCGUGAGUGAAGAAGGUUUUCGGAUCGUAAAACUCUGUUGUUAGAGAAGAACAAGGAUGAGAGUAACUGUUCAUCCCUUGACGGUAUCUAACCAGAAAGCCACGGCUAACUACGUGCCAGCAGCCGCGGUAAUACGUAGGUGGCAAGCGUUGUCCGGAUUUAUUGGGCGUAAAGCGAGCGCAGGCGGUUUCUUAAGUCUGAUGUGAAAGCCCCCGGCUCAACCGGGGAGGGUCAUUGGAAACUGGGAGACUUGAGUGCAGAAGAGGAGAGUGGAAUUCCAUGUGUAGCGGUGAAAUGCGUAGAUAUAUGGAGGAACACCAGUGGCGAAGGCGGCUCUCUGGUCUGUAACUGACGCUGAGGCUCGAAAGCGUGGGGAGCAAACAGGAUUAGAUACCCUGGUAGUCCACGCCGUAAACGAUGAGUGCUAAGUGUUGGAGGGUUUCCGCCCUUCAGUGCUGCAGCUAACGCAUUAAGCACUCCGCCUGGGGAGUACGACCGCAAGGUUGAAACUCAAAGGAAUUGACGGGGGCCCGCACAAGCGGUGGAGCAUGUGGUUUAAUUCGAAGCAACGCGAAGAACCUUACCAGGUCUUGACA
rnacentral:rRNA from 1 species